GACGAACGCUGGCGGCGUGCUUAACACAUGCAAGUCGAACGAAGUGGCGAACGGGUGAGUAACGCGUAAUCAACCUGCCCUUCAGAGGGGGCCAACAGUUGGAAACGACUGCUAAUACCGCAUACUGAAGGAGGGGAUUGCGUCGGUUUAGCUCGUUGGAGGGGUAACGGCACACAAAGGCGAUGAUCAGCAGCCGGUCUGAGAGGAUGGAAGGUCACAUUUGGACUGAGAAACGGCCCAGACUCCUACGGGAGGCAGCAUGGGGGAAACUUCCGCAAUGGACGAAAGUCUGGAGGAGCAACGCCGCGUGAGUGAUGACGGCCUUCGGGUUGUAAAGCUCUGUUAAUCGGGACGCGGUACCGGAAUAGAAAGCCACGGCUAACUACGUGCCAGCAGCCGCGGUAAUAC
rnacentral:rRNA from 1 species